GAUGAACGCUGACAGAAUGCUUAACACAUGCAAGUCAACUGUGGCGGACGGGUGAGUAACGCGUAAAGAACUUGCCUCACAGAUAGGGACAACAUUUGGAAACGAAUGCUAAUACCUGAUACUGUGAGAGAGCUUUGCGUCCCAUUAGCUAGUUGGAGAGGUAACGGCUCACCAAGGCGAUGAUGGGUAGCCGGCCUGAGAGGGUGAUCGGCCACAAGGGGACUGGGACGCGGCCAUUACUCCAUCGGGAGGCAUCGGUGGGGAAUAUUGGACAAUGGACCAAAGUCUGAUGAAGCAAUUCGGUGUGCAAGAUGCAGUUUUCGGAAUGUAAAGUGCUUUCAGUUGGGACGCGGUACCAACAGAAGAAGUGACGGCUAAAUACGUGCCAGCAGCCGCGGUAAUUC
rnacentral:rRNA from 1 species